AUACAUUUAGCAUAAUUAAUGUUUCAAAUUUCCAAUUUGAGUAUCUAAGUAAUUCUUAGAAUGUAUA
rnacentral:tRNA from 1 species